AGUGGGGAAUAUUGCACAAUGGGGGAAACCCUGAUGCAGCGACGCCGCGUGGAGGAAGAAGGUCUUCGGAUUGUAAACUCCUGUUGUUGGGGAAAAGAAGGAUGGUACCCAACAAGGAAGUGACGGCUAACUACGUGCCAGCAGCCGCGGUAAAACGUAGGUCACAAGCGUUGUCCGGAAUUACUGGGUGUAAAGGGAGCGCAGGCGGGUAUGCAAGUUGGGAGUGAAAUACAUGGGCUCAACCCAUGAACUGCUCUCAAAACUGUGUAUCUUGAGUAGUGCAGAGGUAGGCGGAAUUCCCGGUGUAGCGGUGGAAUGCGUAGAUAUCGGGAGGAACACCAGUGGCGAAGGCGGCCUACUGGGCACCAACUGACGCUGAGGCUCGAAAGUGUGGGUAGCAAACAGGAUUAGAUACCCUGGUAGUCCACACCGUAAACGAUGAUUACUAGGUGUUGGAGGAUAGACCCCUUCAGUGCCGCAGUUAACACAAUAAGUAAUCCACCUGGGGAGUACGACCGCAAGGUUGAAACUCAAAGGAAUUGACGGGGGCCCGCACAAGCAGUGGAGUAUGUGGUUUAAUUCGACGCAACGCGAAGAACCUUACCAAGUCUUGACAUCCUCUGGCGAUGCUGGAAACAGUAUUUUCCUUCGGGACAGAGAGACAGGUGGUGCAUGGUUGUCGUCAGCUCGUGUCGUGAGAUGUUGGGUUAAGUCCCGCAACGAGCGCAACCCUUAUGGAUAGUUACUACGCAAGAGGACUCUAUUCAGACUGCCGUUGACAAAACGGAGGAAGGUGGGGAUGACGUCAAAUCAUCAUGCCCUUUAUGACUUGGGCUACACACGUACUACAAUGGCGUUCAACAAAGAGAAGCGAAGCCGCGAGGCAGAGCAAAACUCAAAAACAACGUCCCAGUUCAGAUUGCAGGCUGCAACUCGCCUGCAUGAAGUCGGAAUUGCUAGUAAUCGCAGAUCAGCAUGCUGCGGUGAAUACGUUCCCGGGCCUUGUACACACCGCCCGUCACACCAUGAGAGCCGGGGGGACCCGAAGUCGGUAGUCUAACCGCAAGGAGGACGCCGCCGAAGGUAAAACUGGUGAUUGGGGUGAAGUCGUAACAAGGUAGCCGUAGGAGAACCUGCGGCUG
rnacentral:rRNA from 1 species